rnacentral:rRNA from 1 species
UGGGUCCGAGUUNGUAAUUUGUAGAGGAUGCUUCGGGCAAGGCUGUGGUCUAAUUCGCUUGGAACAGCGAGUCAGAGAGGGUGAGAAUCCCGUCCAGGAUCGUAAGCCGCGUCCAUGUGAAGCUCCUUCGACGAGUCGAGUUGUUUGGGAAUGCAGCUCUAAAUGGGUGGUAAAUUUCAUCUAAAGCUAAAUAUGGGCCAGAGACCGAUAGCGCACAAGUAGAGUGAUCGAAAGAUGAAAAGCACUUUGAAAAGAGAGUUAAACAGUAUGUGAAAUUGUUGAAAGGGAAGCGCUGGCAAUCAGACUUGUGACUGACGGUUCCCCCGGCCUUCUGGCCGGGCUACUCCGUCACGUCCAGGCCAACAUCGGUUUGGGUGGUCGGUAAAAGACCCCGGGAAUGUAUCUACCUUCGGGUCGACUUAUAGCCCGGGGUGCAAUGCGGCCCACCUGGACCGAGGAACGCGCUCCGGCUCGGAUGUUGGCGUAAUGGUUGUCAGCGGCCCGUCUUGAAACACGGACCAAGGAGUCUAACAUCUAUGCGAGUGUUUGGGUGUCAAACCCCUACGCGGAAUGAAAGUGAACGGAGGUAAGAACCCCAUCAGGGGCGCAUUAUCGACCGAUCCUGAUGUCUUCGGAUGGAUUUGAGUAAGAGCAUAGCUGUUGGGACCCGAAAGAUGGUGAACUAUGCAUGAAUAGGGUGAAGCCAGAGGAAACUCUGGUGGAG